rnacentral:rRNA from 1 species
GCCUACGGCCAUACCAGUCUGAAAGUGCCUGAUCUCGUCAGAUCUCAGAAGUCAUGGAGACUUGUGCCUGCUUUGUACUUGUAUGGGAGACCAACUAGGAACCUCAGGUGCCGUAAGCU